AUAUUCUUACACUACACUAAACUCUAAUAAAUACUACACGCUAAUAGUUUUUCUACUUUAGUUUCUGAUUGCAUAGAAGCUCUUCUCAAACCUUCAUGAGUUGGGUUUCUGUAGUGUCUAAAGAAGCCAAUGUGAAUUUGUGUUUCAUUACUUUGAGUAAACGGAAACCUCUCAUGUGCAAAGUCCAUAUAACUAAUGUGUGCAUACGCGGAAGACCAAACUUUGCUCUGAAAAUAAGAAAGGUAUGGGUUAUAGCACUUUGCGAUGUAAUAAAACAGACUUUAGCACACAAGGUUGUUGAUUUGGUCGAGAUCUGUAUAUUUGUAUGGCUAUUAUAACUGACUAGCAAGUGUUGAUUUUGCCUGAUAAGAGAAUGUAAAUUUGUAAUCAAACUGUCAAAAUCUUUAUCAUCCUCAAAUACAUUCUACAUGAUAUUAUGUGUGAAGAAAAAUAUUUGCAUCCCUGAUUUGAACAAACGGUAACAAACUGUUAUGAUUGUAAUCUUAGCAAGAUGUCAACACAGCACAGUUUGUUUUUGUAGCCAGCCCCCUUUACAUAGAAUAUGAAAACAAAUAUUAGCGAAUUUGGAGGGACAGGAAUAAGUGAGUGUCUUUUUCUCGGUUUCAACAAUGUACUUACACAGAGCAUCGCUAUGGGCAGGGCCGCACGUGGUUAAAAACCAUAACUCAAGCAAGCUAUAUCACUUUUAUCAAUAUUUAAACAUGGUUGAGUUAUUAGACUAGGAAAACUCAUCAGGAUGUGUGUCCAGCUACAAAAACUCCCACAACCAAAUAUUUGAAAUGGGAGUAAUAAACAAUUUAACUUGUUCAAUAUUUGUAAUAAGCAAGAGUCCCUGUCUGUCAUUCAAUCAUUGUAUAUUUUUCAAAUGAUCUCACUCACUCUCAUAUGAUUCCUGCCAUUUGUGUUCAGGUCUGUCCUGAAGGGGAAGUCACUACAGAUCUUCAGCUUGUUUAUUGAUAAAUUUGUAAAACUGGAAUUUAUUGUUAAAGAUUAAUGCCAAGAUUGAUGCCAAGACUUGUCUUUGGGUGAUGAACAAGUAUAUAGAUAUAGUCCUAUGUUAUGAUUUUUGUUUGGUGUUUUGAAAAGUUUGAAAAGAAAAGUUUCACUGUAUACAAGAACCAUAAAGCUUAUAUCUCUAUCUGUACACUUAAAUCAUCAUUCACCGAUUAUCCAGUACCCAGUUCUUUAUCUUAAUGGGAAAUAACCUAUCCUAUUUUCUAGUUUAACCCUUUCCACCUGCAAGAUGUUAGAGAAGAAAUUCAUAUAAACCUGCAAUUACUGGAAUUUAUAAAGGAAAGCCGUUGAAAAAUGACAAAGAUUGGAAAUAAGGAUAUAAAUAUUUUUCAUAACCCAGUCUCUUGAAAUUCAUAGAAACAUUAUUUUUUGAAAGUUUUAUCAGUGAUAAUUUGUAUGAACCCUAGUUUUCAAUGCUGAAAAGAGUUUGACUGGGAAGAAACCUAGAAUAGUUUGAAAGCUAAUUAUUCCUGAUCUGUGUUUGAGAAUAGUUCUCCAGAAUAUCUCUGUGGAAUAUGCCAAAAGCUGGCCAAAAAUAGCACAGAUAUCAUUCUAUCAUUGAUGAAAAUUGCAACAAAUUGCAAAAAAAGUUAUUCAGUUUGUAAAAAAUUUGAUUUAGAAUUUUUGUUCUGUUGAAAUGUAAAAGAUGGAUUUCAAGAAUAUAGUUAUUGAACUAGCAAAUUUUGUAUGAAAUGAUUCAGGAUAUCUGUAAUGUUUUCUGACCCAGGAUUCUGAAUGAUUGACAUAUAUACAUUUGUUAUCCCAUGAAUGCUAAGAUGUCAACGUGCAAUUCUUAAACAUUGUGAAAUAUCUUCAGACAGUACUGUACUUAUGACAGCGAUGGUAUUUUUAUCACUGGCAUGAUUAAGUUAUUAAAAGUUAUUAAGAGGACACGAUGUAUGGGGUAUGUAAAUCAGAAAUUAGUGGAUUAGGUUGUUAUGGCCUGAAGUGAUUCUGUGUACAUGGGUUGUGAAGAGUUCCCUAGAGAUAACUUCAUAAAUGAGAAGAAAUAUCGUAAAUGGGCACGGAUAUGAUUGAAGCUCAAAAUACUAUAAUCAAAUACUGAGUCAAUAUUGAUUCAAGAUAAUAUGACGCUUAUGGACGAGAACAGGUUUCGGAAAGAUUUAUCAUGAUAAAUAUAGAUUGAAUAGGAUAUAUAUCUGUGCCUAAAGGCAUUUCCUAGCUUUCACCUGCGAUUUAUUCUCCAUUUUCCCUGACAGAUUUAUUUACCCAGGUAUUGACAAUCUAAUGAAGUUGGGACAGUAAUCAGUCUCCUCGAUAAUACACAGAUUACCCUGAUUAAAAUACUUUUCACAGAUUCCUUUCUCAUACAGGUACACUACACACAUGCUAACAUGCAAACAUAACAAUGGCCACCAUUUAAAGCCAGCAAGUCAUGUAUUGAUCUAAAGAAUGUCAUGAAGUUAUGUAAUGGCGACCACAGCCAUUCGUAGAACAGUGCUGAAAGUUAAGGUUGAUUGGAUGUAGGAGCAAAGUUUUUACUUGAAUAUUCUGAGUGAGUAACUUUGAAAACAAUAAGAUGCCAUGUUAUUAUACAAAUAAUACAAUUUCCCAAUAGUGUAAUGACUAUCAAAUUAAAAACCAGAUAGUAUCUACCAAUUAUAGGGUGAAUGACUUGAUGGAGUUCGAAGAUGAGAAUUUUCUGCUUGGGGUAAGCAGAGAUAAGCAAGUUGAUUGGUUGAUGCUUUGGGACACGAUAACUUUAGUUCUAGUUAAUUGAGAGUGAUGAAACUUGACAUCAAUACCUUGACUAAGUUCGAUAAUGAACAUUUUCUGCUGAGGGAUUUUGGCGGGGGACAUCAGCCUCAGGGUUGGCUUGUUUUUUUUAGCUUGUUCUCUAUCCAUCUCUUUCAAAAUGUGGAUGUAUCAUGCCUGGCAACCACUGGUUUGAUGAAAUAGUAGGCCAGAUAAAUAAGAAAUUCCCAUCUGGUGAGGCAGUAUUCACCAGUAUGAGAAAGGAGAAAUUUAGUAAUGUCUUGUGCAAAGAUCCUGAACCUAAUGUGAGUUUGCCCUAGAGUAGGCCUGUCUUAAAUCGUAAUGGAAAAUAACGUCUCCUAGAAUACUUUAUUGCUUUUAACACAAAGCUCAUGAUAUACAAUAGGAAGAAAUUUAUGAGAAAGAUCAAUUGGCAAUGUACAUGCAUGUAUUAUAAUGUUAUAAACUUAUACAUCUGGGAAUAUUAAAUAAAUAAAAUCUUAGAAAAUUUA